AUCUUCCUAUUUACAUUGCAAACAUGGAGUCCACCACAUUUUGAUCUAUUUAUGUUCUUAUUAGUUGGCAUUAUACGGCGGAUGGACACAGGUUUGUUCCUUGUGCUGCUCACCACACAUAACUGCAUUUGUUAUUCGCAUAUUUUUUACAUAUCAGGUGGGGUGCCCAAAAUCACAUUUCUCCAUUGUGAAAUUCCCUUCUGCUGAGGGUUUUAGAGCAUAAACAAUAAACGAUAACUUAAUUAUAUUUGGGCAAGACAGUUUGAUACAGCCUCCUCUAAAUGUCAUAUAAGAGGAAAACAACAUUACAAUUGAUAACAAAUGAACAAAAUCAAUAUAAAAUCCACGUGAACAGUUUUAAAAUAGGAAAAUGUCACGUUAUUCAUUGACAGGACUCUGUCAUGGGAAUCUGCAUCACACUUAGCCUCUGUGCAGGAAAUUAAAUUCCAUAAUUGGAAUCGGUGUGUCCAUAUUAGGGCCCAGCCCUGUUUUUCUAGACAUAGGGAACCCCGUUGUACUAAACUCUCCUUGCAUUCCAGAUCCUCUCCAUAUCGCAGAGCCCUUUCUACCCGGAGGCUGCCGAUGAAGCCUUCGUCCAAAAAUCCAUCCAAGAAACCACAGUCGGAAUCUACAUCCUCAAAUCUCAGGACAGAUUUGAGGACAUCGGCAUUGUCCUUGAAGGCCAGAAAGUUUUGCAAGGGUUGGAUAAUUUUGCAUUAGCUGUGGCAAUGCUCUUUGGACUAAUGUAUGCCUUAAAUCUCAAUUACCCACCUGAGAUGAAAUACACCUUUGAGGUUCUUCAAAAAAUAGUAAUGGAGCUAGAAGGCUGCAGUUUGUCAAUGAAAGCUCAAGUUCUCAGAAACAGACUCUGUGAGUGAGGUGUUUCUGGUACGGUAGGGAGACGCACAAGCUGGUUCUGCCUCUUGGAUUAAGGACCAUUGUUUUUCAUUUUACACACUCUCAAAGAGAACCUACAAACAGUUCAAAGGUUUACGCUGUAUGUGUGUGUUUGUAUGUAUCUUACUGUUUAAAAAAAAAAAAAACACUGUAAAAGUAUUGUUUGGUUAAAAAUAAUAGUGAUUUGUCUUGGAGUUUCUCAGACUGAAAAAACAAAACAAAAGGAGGCUUUGGUCUAAUUCGUCUGUUCAUCGUUUUUACUCAACCUGUUUGGUUACUCAAAUUGUUGGAUUUUACUGUAUCUGGUAGGGCUGCACGAUAAUCAUCGCGCGAUAUGUAUUGCGCAUCUUGUCAUGUGAAAUCACACACCUGAUGGAAUUUACCACUGAUUACAGAACCGGCUUUACUGACAAGAUGCGCAGUACAUAUCGUGUGAUGAUUAUCGUGCAGCCCUAGUAUCUGGUCUGUUGACAAGAAAUGUCAUAGUUCACAGUCAGCCGUUCAUCCCAUACUUUUAAAAAUGAAUUGAAUUGUUAAAAUUUAUAGUGAUUUCCAUUGUCUUACUGCUUUUUAAAAUGAAAUCCAAAAUUGUAAAGGUACGUUUUGACUACUUCAUGAUUUUCAUUACUGGUCACAUUUUCCACUGCACCUGUUUGACGGCAUCUCGUUUUGCACUUGACAGUGGAUGUUAUUCAUGAAAUUUAUGCUGUUUUUAUUUUCACACAGAGAAGGCUGUGUUUCUGUAACCAGAACUGAGAAAUUGUGCUGUGAAAAAUACACUGAUUUACAGCAAGUA